rnacentral:rRNA from 1 species
AGUGAACGCUGGCGGUAGGCCUAACACAUGCAAGUCGAACGGCAGCACAGUAAGAGCUUGCUCCUACGGGUGGCGAGUGGCGGACGGGUGAGGAAUACAUCGGAAUCUACUUUUUCGUGGGGGAUAACGUAGGGAAACUUACGCUAAUACCGCAUACGACCUACGGGUGAAAGCAGGGGAUCUUCGGACCUUGCGCGAUUGAAUGAGCCGAUGUCGGAUUAGCUAGUUGGCGGGGUAAAGGCCCACCAAGGCGACGAUCCGUAGCUGGUCUGAGAGGGUGAUCAGCCACACUGGAACUGAGACACGGUCCAGACUCCUACGGGAGGCAGCAGUGGGGAAUAUUGGACAAUGGGCGCAAGCCUGAUCCAGCCAUACCGCGUGGGUGAAGAAGGCCUUCGGGUUGUAAAGCCCUUUUGUUGGGAAAGAAAAGCAGCAGGUUAAUACCCCGCUGUUCUGACGGUACCCAAAGAAUAAGCACCGGCUAACUUCGUG